GAUGAACGCUAGCGGCAGGCUUAAUACAUGCAAGUCGAGGGGCAGCAUGAUUGUAGCAAUACAAUUGAUGGCGACCGGCAAACGGGUGCGGAACACGUACACAACCUUCCAACAAGUGGGGGAUAGCCCAGAGAAAUUUGGAUUAAUACCCCGUAACAUAGCGAUGUGGCAUCACAUUGCUAUUGUAGAUUUUUCGCUUGUUGAUGGGUGUGCGGCAGAUUAGAUAGUUGGCGGGGUAAAGGCCCACCAAAUCUACGAUCAGUAGCUGAUGUGGGAGCAUGAUCAGCCACACGGGCACUGAGACACGGGCCCGACUCCUACGGGAGGCAGCAGUAAGGAAUAUUGGACAAUGGACGCAAGUCUGAUCCAGCCAUGCCGCGUGAAGGAUUAAGGUCCUCUGGAUUGUAAACUUCUUUUAUAAGGGACGAAAAAAGGCUUUUCUAAGUCGUCUGACGGUACCUUAUGAAUAAGCACCGGCUAACUCCGUGCCAGCCGCCGCCGUAAUAC
rnacentral:rRNA from 1 species